AUUGAACGCUGGCGGCACGCUUAACACAUGCAAGUCGAACGGCAGCAUGACAUGUGCUUGCACAUGUUGAUGGCGAGUGGCGGACGGGUGAGUAAUGAACAGGAAUAUACCUUAAAGAGGGGGAUAACAUGGGGAAACUCAUGCUAAUACCGCAUGUGCUCUGAGGAGCGAAGCUGGGGACCUUAUGGCCUGGCGCUUUAAGAAUAGCCUGUGUCUGAUUAGCUAGUUGGUGGGGUAAAGGCCUACCAAGGCGAUGAUCGGUAGCUGGUCUGAGAGGAUGGACAGCCACACUGGGACUGAGACACGGCCCAGACUCCUACGGGAGGCAGCAGUGGGGAAUAUUGGACAAUGGGGGGAACCCUGAUCCAGCGAUGCCGCGUGUGUGAAGAAGGCCUGAGGGUUGUAAAGCACUUUUAGUGGGGAGGAGGUCUUGUAGGUUAAGAGCUAAUGAGAUGGACGUUACCCACAGAAAAAGCACCGGCUAACUCCGUGCCAGCCGCCGCCGUAA
rnacentral:rRNA from 1 species